rnacentral:rRNA from 1 species
GGAGGCAACUCUGACCCAGCCAUGCCGCGUGCAGGAAGACUGCCCUAUGGGUUGUAAACUGCUUUUAUAGAGGAAGAAACCCUCCCACGUGUGGGAGGCUGACGGUACUCUACGAAUAAGGACCGGCUAACUCCGUGCCAGCAGCCGCGGUAAUACGGAGGGUGCAAGCGUUAUCCGGAAUCAUUGGGUUUAAAGGGUCCGUAGGCGGGCAAUUAAGUCAGAGGUGAAAUCCCACAGCUCAACUGUGGAACUGCCUUUGAUACUGGUUGUCUUGAGUUAUAUUGAAGUGAGUAGAAUAUGUAGUGUAGCGGUGAAAUGCAUAGAUAUUACAUAGAAUACCGAUUGCGAAGGCAGA